CAGUAGCCACGGUAAUACAGAGGGUGCAAGCGUUAAUCGGAAUUACUGGGCGUAAAGCGCACGCAGGCGGUUUGUUAAGUCAGAUGUGAAAUCCCCGAGCUUAACUUGGGAACUGCAUUUGAAACUGGCAAGCUAGAGUCUUGUAGAGGGGGGUAGAAUUCCAGGUGUAGCGGUGAAAUGCGUAGAGAUCUGGAGGAAUACCGGUGGCGAAGGCGGCCCCCUGGACAAAGACAGACGCUCAGGUGCGAAAGCGUGGGGAGCAAACAGGAUUAGAUACCCGCGUAGUCCCUGUCUCUUAUAC
rnacentral:rRNA from 1 species